UACAGAGGUCUCAAGCGUUGUUCGGAUUCAUUGGGCGUAAAGGGUGCGUAGGCGGCGCGGUAAGUCGGGUGUGAAAUCUUGGAGCUUAACUCCGAAACUGCAUUCGAUACUGCCGUGCUUGAGGACUGGAGAGGAGACUGGAAUUUACGGUGUAGCGGUGAAAUGCGUAGAUAUCGUAAGGAAGACCAGUGGCGAAGGCGGGUCUCUGGACAGUUCCUGACACUGAGACACGAAGGCCAGGGGAGCAAACGGG
rnacentral:rRNA from 1 species